GGCCGAGAGCGAGGUUGCCACUGGACGUUGGUGGUGGCGGCCAAAAUAGGCGUGGUGACGAUGCUAAAUGUGAGGAUUUUCCGAGUUAAUAUUCACUAUGGUGGUACACAGGAAACACUGGCCGAAUAUUAGCUAUUAAUAUUCUGCCGCAAUAUUCUGAGUGGAAGGAGUCUUAGUGGGGGCAGGGAAUGGUAAUGAUAGCAAGUAUUAUGUGACAGGCAUCGUUGUAAACCACAAUUCUAUGAGGUAGUUCCCAUUAUUAAGGCUGCUUUGCAGAUAAGGAAACUGAGGUUACGGGACUUAACCAUGUGAC
rnacentral:lncRNA from 10 species